rnacentral:rRNA from 1 species
GUGAGGAAUAUUGGUCAAUGGGCGAGAGCCUGAACCAGCCAAAUCGCGUGAAGGAUGAAGGUAUUAUGUAUUGUAAACUUCUUUUAUCGGGGAAUAAAGUGCACCACGUGUGGUGUUUUGUAUGUACCCGAAGAAUAAGGAUCGGCUAACUCCGUGCCAGCAGCCGCGGUAAUACGGAGGAUCCAAGCGUUAUCCGGAUUUAUUGGGUUUAAAGGGUGCGUAGGCGGACUGUCAAGUCAGCGGUGAAAGUUCAUGGCUCAACCAUGGAAUUGCCGUUGAAACUGUCGGUCUUGAGUGUAGAUGAGGUAGGCGGAAUUCGUAGUGUAGCGGUGAAAUGCUUAGAUAUUACGAAGAACUCCAAUUGCGUAGGCAGCUUACCAGGCUACAACUGACGCUGAGGCACGAAGGUGCGGGGAUCAAACAGGAUUAGAAACCCGGGUAGUCC